rnacentral:rRNA from 1 species
CCCUUAGAUGUUCUGGGCUGCACGCGCGCUACACUGAUGCGUACAUCGAGUAUUAACCUGCUUCGAAAGUAGUGGGUAAUCUUCGAAAACGCAUCGUGAUGGGGAUAGAUUAUUGCAAUUAUUAAUCUUCAACGAGGAAUCCCUAGUAAACGCAAGUCAUCAGCUUGCGUUGAUUACGUCCCUGCCCUUUGUACACACCGCCCGUCGCUCCUACCGAUUGAGUGAUCCGGUAAAUUAUUCGGACCGUUAGCUUCAGCUUGCUGUUGUUAAUGGAAAGUCUUGUGAACCUUAUCACUUAGAGGAAGGAGAAGUCGUANCA